rnacentral:tRNA from 1 species
GCGAUCGUGGCGAAGUGGUCAACGCACCGGGUUGUGGUCCCGGCACUCGCGGGUUCGAAACCCGUCGGUCGCCCCA